UUUCGCAACUCUGAAGUGAAAACAUCUUCGGGU
rnacentral:rRNA from 1 species